CGUGGGUAACCUGCCCAAGAGAUCGGGAUAACACCUGGAAACAGAUGCUAAUACCGGAUAACAACAGAUGAUGCCUAUCAACUGUUUAAAAGAUGGUUCUGCUAUCACUCUUGGAUGGACCUGCGGUGCAUUAGCUAGUUGGUAGGGUAACGGCCUACCAAGGCGAUGAUGCAUAGCCGAGUUGAGAGGGUGAUCGGCCACACUGGAACUGAGACACGGUCCAGACUCCUACGGGAGGCAGCAGUC
rnacentral:rRNA from 1 species